GGGGUUGACUGGUUUCGACAGGGGUUUUGAAGUCAUGGAAGCCAUUCGUGGACUAGGACCACGUUAAAACUUAGAUUAAAAAUAAACGCUAACGAUAAUUUAGCUUACGCUGCCUAAUGGCAGCUGCCGGCGUUAAGGUUCCCCGUACCUUUUUGUCCGGUAUCAUCCCAACGGGAAACUCCGGUGCCUAAGCUUUGCGGUAUCGGAAAAUCUAUGAAGCUACUGAAGUGCUUAGCCUGUUAGUGGGCGAAGAACGGAGGGAAUGUUAAAACACUGACUAUGAUGGAAGAUGCCAUGAUGAAUGAGCUUUUGGACGGGGGUUCGAAUCCCCCCAGCUCCAU
rnacentral:tmRNA from 1 species